ensembl:lncRNA
CCCAAUGUGGAAGGCAUUCCCUGCAGAGCUGGUUACCAGUGCCCCUCGGGUGCGGUAGCGGAAAAGCUCUGUCGAGCCGGAUCAUACUGUGAAGCUCAGACUGCUGAGCCACAACUCUGCCCUCCUGGUUAUUUCUGCCCGGUGGGAUCUCAUUCAUAUAACACCCCCAAACAACUCUGUUUAUUUCCUUACUACUGCCCCGCCAACAGCACGGCUCUUACAUCAUGUGAGGGGGGUUCCAAACCUGUCAACACCAGUGGGCUGAGAGGUUCUCAAAGCAACUGCUGCACUCUGUGUACAGGGGGAACCUACCGUCCGUAUCUCUCCAGCAGUCUGGUCUGCCUGCUAUGCCCGCCAGGUUACUUCUGUCCACAAGGAACUGAGAGCUACAAGACCCACCCUUGCCCCAGUGGAUAUGUGUGUCCUGUGGGGUCAUCUCAGCCAAAAGCCUGCCCUCCCGGCUCCUUUGGUAAACUCGCACAUGCUAUGAAAAAUAGUGACUGUCAUCCCUGUCCAGCUGGCACCUUCAACCACCUGGAAGGACAGAAGGCCUGCUUUCCCUGUGGCAGUUCAUCCACCUCAUCACCAGGGUCUUUCCUGUGUACAUGUAUUGGGAAGAACCGGGCCUUCCAGCCUUCUGAUGGUUCCUGUUUGUGCAGAACAGGAUUUGUUUAUUACGAUGAGCAGGAUCUCAAGAGUUCAUCGUCUGACAGUGUUUUUGAUUGUCAGCCUGAGGUAAACAGACGAUGUGCAAAAGGUGAAGUACGCAUAGCAGCAUCGAGAGCAUGUGUAUCUCCUGCUCUUCACUCCUGUAAUAAAACCUGUGGGCCACAUGGAGGAACUCUGGAUGUUGAGAUGGGCAUCUGUCAGUGUGAGCGAUACGUGUCUGCUGAAGAGCUGUGCAACACAUCCUGUCUCUCACGUCUGCCUCAUCUCUCCGCUCAGCUCUCAUCAGAUGGACAACUCCUGCUCAGCCUCAAAGAGAGAAAAGGCUCGAUCUGGGCCAGGUCUGUUACAGAUAUUUUAGGACCUGAUAUCCAUGCAAACAAUAUUGGAAAAAUUCAUUUAGUAGAGUUUAGCUCUGAGGGACUGUUUGGAUGGAUUCCUAAAGAAAUUGAACUUAUUCAACAUUUCCUCACAGGACCUAUGGACGUUUUAAACAUUCACCACAGAAACAGAAGAGAUACUAGAGGAGAAAACAAAAGUGAUUGGGCAGUACUUCCUCGUAUUCAUAACCCCAUUGCUUGUAUUUCGUCUGGUGACAUGUUGCUUUUCCAGCUCACCAUCAACCACAGUGAUCGCCAUCAAAGCCAUUUCCCAGUAUAUCAGAAAGACCACCUGUUUAACAGCAACCCCAGCUGGGACUUUGGUGCCUUCAGACAACUGCAGAUACUCAUGAGACAGACAAACGUUAAUUCCAAAAGAUUUGCACAUGUCUUUUCUGAACCUGGAAAGUAUGUUUUUGUGGACAAUGCUGUCCCAGAGUGGACACUGGUCGUGGUGGUCACUGACCAAGGAACAGAGUGUAAUCUACGAGCUGCAGUUUUUCAGCCAAUGACUCCAGCUCAGUUGGUCAAGUUUGGGAUUGUCAAACGGCACCAGCUCAACCUGUUACCCGACUGGGAACUUAUCACUGGGUUCCUGAGUGUAUUUCUUGCGCUGGUUGUGGUUCUUACCUCUACAGUGCUAGUUUUGCGCCCUGGGAAGUCAAAGCUCAUUGCACAUUGGAAGAACAGGCCAAAGUGGAGGAAUGUUGGAGAACCUUUUUGUCCUAUUGAGUGCAAUUGUACUAAAGACAGCCCAGUUACUCCAAGCCUGGCUUUAGUUUUAGGUAGUCGAGGAGUGGGAGAAGGGGCUGAGGCUGAGGAGCCUGCUAUUUCAAAAGGAAGUGUUUCAGGUCGCUGUGAUCUUGAGGAGUUCAAUGUAAAGACAUUGUAUGACAAACUCGAAGAUCAGAACCUCCACAUCGCGUCACAGCUGGCCCGACACCGUAAAGACGCACAGGAGUUCUACAGAAACAUGUGCCAACAAGCAGACACACUCAUUAACAUUUUAGAGAGCAUGGAUAAUAAAAAGCUCCUGCUUCUAAAAGAAUUAUUGAUUUGCAAUGCUGCAAAAGAUAAAGCAAAGAAUAGCAGAGCAGAAGAAAGAGACACUCAAGAUGAGGCAUUUGCAGUAUUACUUGGAGCUGUCCUCAGGUCUGUUGAAGCUCUCUUAUGCAGAAUGACCAUUGGAGAGGCAUGGCACCAUCAGUAUGUAGUCCCUCAAGAUGACGGAGUGUGUGAGCCUCAGCAUAGUGAAGCCAACGUCUGCUAUACACAGUUUUCAUCAGAACAACUGGCCAAAGACAGAUCUUUAAGUGAACCAGUCCCUAGUUUGAGUGACCAUGACUUGUCCAAGUUGGUCAGCAUUACUCCUUUAUUCCAAACUCUUCAAGACAUUCAGCAGUCUUUACAGAAUCUCACUGUUGAAGGAAGCUGUCUACCAGACCUCAGCACAGAGACUGAUGAAACUGAAAUAGAAACUGGUUCAGAAAAUGGUGAGCUCAUUGCCACUGCACUGGAGAGCCUCUCACCUCAGCACUCAGCCAUCUACCUGUUUGGUUGCCAGGUGAUGCAACUGCUAUCAGCCUGCCCCUUGUUCCCCCCUGUGCUCCUUCUGCUGGCCAAGUCUGUCCCCACAUCUUUAAAUUCAGCCAAACCCAUGUCACACUGCACAAAGUAUUUUUAUUUUGAUGCAACAAAUCAAAUCUUAUACCUGUCAGAGAACAGGCUACAUCAUGUGGGAUAUUUCAUCUCUACUCUCCUCCAGUCCAUGGCCCACAUUGCUGCAGGGUCCAAACCACAGAUGUUUAUGAAAGUGCUCCAUGAAGCAAUUUCAGUUCUAAGCCUUCAACUGUUCAAGCUUUCUUUCCAAUGGAACGCCAGGUCAAAACUGGAUAUGUCCGAGGAGCAACAGGGCUCAUUACUUUCUGAGUUUCUCAACGUCAGGGUUCCUGCUGAAGCACACUUCACCGAGCAUCUAUUAGCUAGCAGACUUGAAAAAUACAGAUAUUUAAAAGUUGAGCAGCUCAUUUCAAAGCUCAAGCAGAGUUCAACUGAAGACAUGGACACAGUCAAAUGCGUAACAGCACAAGGGAGUCCUGUUCAGUUAUCCUGUAUAGAAGAAGAAAUUGACCGACUGAAUGAGUCCUUCAUACAACUGAGCAUGCAGUUACAAAACAGAGCACAAGUGAGGAGAGAUGCUGGAGAGAGCAGUACUGGAAGCUGCUCCAGGAGUGCGUCACCAUCAUCCGUCCCAAGCCUAAGUCGUAAUGGAACAAUCCUGGUGGAACUGAAGAGACGCUAUCUAUCCCAGCGCCUAAAUGAGCUCCAAAUCACAUUAGAGCACAUCAGACGCAGCCAGCAGCAUGACAGCAAUUCACAAGCUGGGACGAGGAGCCUUAUUCAAACAGACAGCAGCAGCACUCAUCCAGAGCAGAGCCAGGUCUCUCCUGGCAUGGGCCCUCACAAUGCUUCUCAUGCCCAGAGGCAGAACAGCACUGAAGCCAACCACAGCCACUGGCAGCCAGCAGCACAAGCAGCAGAAAGAACAGAUCAUGGUAUCUUCAAAUAUGAGAGUCACAUUACCAAACAGCAACUGGAUAACCAGACCUCAUACCCACAUACAUUACUGGAGGCUCAACAUUCUCAGAGUCAGCUCCAAGCUACAUAAACAGCCUGGCCCACUAUCUUCGCUUUUGUGAUUGUGAAU